GCUAUUGAUUUUCUACUGGUAACUGUUUGGCCAAGGAGAAAAGUUAGCUGCAUGUACAGUACUAGGAAAAUUAAAAUGACAUAACCCCAAGAUGUUUUGUUUUUGCAUUGCCCAUCUCAUUUAGCAAUGUACUUUAAACUGACAUAGCAUUCUUUUUUGCAGCAAUUUUUUGGGUUCAAACGACACUUACUGUACAUUGUUGAAAAAGUAGCAUGCCUAUUCGGAUAGUAAUCACUUGCGUGAAAUACUAAACCAUGUCCCUUGAAAAAUCUAUUUAUUUAUUAGAUAUAUUUUCGGCAUACUAAUAUCACUUUCUCAAGAUUUUAGAUGAACUUAGAGUUCAUAUUCAUUAUACUGUAAUUUAAAAAAUGAGGUAAACAAUUUGGGCUCGAGACCUGUGCAUGAAUAAUGAUUUAUUAAUGACUGACAGCUGAUCUACAGUGUGUUUUGUAAGGUCAAAAGUUAAUUUUGUUUCUCCUGUUCACCAAGGGUGUUAUUGGCUCACAAGGUUACAAUUUAUCAAUCGAUCAAAUUUAAUGUCAGUAUACAUAUAUUUGAUCUUCCAAAUUACAAUUCCAUAUGUUGAAUCUGGAGUUUAAAACAAAAGAUAUAUAAUCUGUGUACAGAGCUACCAUGGUGCCCCUCCUUUCAAAAUUUACUGCUUUAACAUGAUUUUCUCCAUAACUUACUCAUCUCAUUUAUUUGUUGUUGUAGAUUGCCAAGAAAUUGAUGAUGCUUGGCUCAGAUGUUGAUUGCAAGGUUAAGAAUGUGGCCAAUAUUAGAUAAUUAGACUGUCAUUUUAAGGGUCAAUGUUUCAACCAUUGUAGUUGAUUGCAAGGUCGACAAUUGGGCUACUACUAGAUAGUUUCACAUCUUGUAAUCUUUGGAAUGUGUUCUCUGUAAUGCAACACGAUUGAUUUAAUACAUCCGACUUUUUUAUUGUAUAUUGUGGCUCCUAUUCGUUACCUCAUAAUUCUUGAUGGCAAUGUAUAAAAUAUCAUUCAUUG
rnacentral:lncRNA from 1 species